ensembl:lncRNA
AAGGCAUUGGGGUGGAAGGCCAGGUAGGCUCUGAAGCAUACACCUACACCCUUCCCUCCGUGCCGUUCCUGUCCUCAAAGAAGAAAAACUUAAACAAAUAAAUAAACAAAAAAAGCAGCCAAGCAGGGCAGCCGCACCCAGCGUCCUGGCUGCGGCAGGAACAUUCCGUCUCGGAGCUCCAGUGGGUCCCUGUUUGUGCAGGCAGAGCUGUCUGACGCCAUUGCCCGCAAGCUGGCAUUUCUGUCCUGGAGCCUCAGCGCCAUGGCCCAACCCUCCUCCGGGGGCUGGGCCUUUCAGGACUACGUCUGCAGGCAUUGUGCUGGUAAGCUGACAGCGGGUCAGUACUGGGGUCGGCUGAACCCUUCGCCAUCCUAGAGAUGUCACUGCCCCUCACCCCUCAGAGUAGCAGAGAGCUUGGAGAAGCCCUGACAGCAUCCUGUACACAAGGAUGCGGGAGAUUCCUCAUCUUGACUGCAGCCUGCUCUCCCUUCGACAGAGAGAAGCAAAGACCUCGUGCCACAGGGCCCAGUGGAGACAAGGAAGAGUGGACACACAACUGCCUGGGCUGGUGAUCACCUUCAUUAACACCAAAUCCUCUCAACUGGGAUCAGUGCGUGGGCUCAACAGAGGACACUUCCCUACCAAUCGGGUGACGCCGACUUGCUGGGGAGAUGUGGCUGUCAUCUCU